UACGUAGGGGGCAAGCGUUGUCCGGAUUUAUUGGGCGUAAAGAGCGUGUAGGCGGCCAGGUAGGUCCGUUGUGAAAACUCGAGGCUCAACCUCGAGACGCCGAUGGAAACCAUCUGGCUAGAGUCCGGAAGAGGAGAGUGGAAUUCCCGGUGUAGCGGUGAAAUGCGCAGAUAUCGGGAAGAACACCCGUGGCUAAGGCGGGUGGACUGGGCCGCACUGACGCUGAGGCGCGAAAGCCAGGGAGCGAACGGG
rnacentral:rRNA from 1 species